rnacentral:rRNA from 1 species
AGAGUUUGAUCAUGGCUCAGGAUGAACGCUAGCGGCAGGCUUAAUACAUGCAAGUCGAGGGGCAGCAGCUCUGUAGCAAUACAGAGGCUGGCGACCGGCAAACGGGUGCGGAACACGUACACAACCUUCCUUUAAGUGGGGAAUAGCCCGGGGAAACCCGGAUUAAUACCCCGUAACAUUAUGAUGUGGCAUCACAUUAUAAUUAUAGCUACGGCGCUUAAUGAUGGGUGUGCGGCUGAUUAGGUAGUUGGCGGGGUAAUGGCCCACCAAGCCUGCGAUCAGUAACUGGUGUGAGAGCACGACCAGUCACACGGGCACUGAGACACGGGCCCGACUCCUACGGGAGGCAGCAGUAAGGAAUAUUGGUCAAUGGACGCAAGUCUGAACCAGCCAUGCCGCGUGGAGGAUGAAGGUCCUCUGGAUUGUAAACUUCUUUUAUCUGGGAAGAAAUCCAAGAUUUCUAUUUUGGUUGACGGUACCAGAUGAAUAAGCACCGGCUAACUCCGUGCCAGCAGCCGCGGUAAUACGGAGGGUGCAAGCGUUAUCCGGAUUCACUGGGUUUAAAGGGUGCGUAGGUGGGUUGGUAAGUCAGUGGUGAAAUCCCCGAGCUUAACUUGGGAACUGCCAUUGAUACUAUCAGUCUUGAAUACCGUGGAGGUCAGCGGAAUAUGUCAUGUAGCGGUGAAAUGCUUAGAUAUGACAUAGAACACCAAUUGCGAAGGCAGCUGGCUACACGAAUAUUGACACUCAGGCACGAAAGCGUGGGGAUCAAACAGGAUUAGAUACCCUGGUAGUCCACGCCCUAAACGAUGGAUACUCGACAUUUGCGAUAAACUGCAAGUGUCUG